rnacentral:lncRNA from 1 species
CUCGGAAUUAAGACCUCCGAGUCAGAAAUUGGCCCCUGCGAGUCGGAAUCCCAACAACCCGACAUCCGGGGUCCGAGGUAAACUGGAACGCAGCAUGACUAUCUUUGGUGUGUGGACAAAACAAAUCAAUAAUUUUGGUGGUUUGGGAAACACAAUCAACAUUUUUCCCUAUUUUAUGGAACAAACAACUAAUCGAUUAAUGAAGAAAAUAGUCGACAGAUUAAUCGAUGACUUGAUGAUAGCAUUUUUGUGUAUAGUCUGACAAUUUCAUUCCCUUUAAAUCUGAGCCUGCAGGGCAGUAUUACAGCCGGUAACAACACACCCCAACAGAAAAAACACACAAGCCAAAACGUUCAAUGUUUCCCAACAGUGUACUAUACAAAAAAAAAAACGUGCACCUUCGAAACCACGCACAGUAAUAUUCCCCCCAAAAACCCCUUGAGUCUCUUUCUCAGUCCAUAUGUACAAGUCUUUAUACAAGUAAGGGCAUUUGUAUGCCUUUUAUGGGCUCGGUUUAUAGGUCGCCAAAAGUCAGUUGGAGUGACACCUCCUGUUCCGUUUGCAGCUAUGUGUGCCGGUUGGCGCGGCGUUACCUCGAGUUCCCGGAAGACGGAGAGCGGACACCGGCGACGCGCAGGUCCGCGGCUGUGGUCGGUGGGGAGGGUGGGAGUGUCAGUGACCCUCACCCUGCGUGGAUUAGCCGAGUGAUUCCGGAAUACCGAGCGCCAGCGGCGGUGAACCCUCCGACGUACCGAACACGCGAUGCGAGGGAUCGUCUCAGAUUUUCUAGCUAUUUCGGUGGAAUGGUACACUUUUUUGUUGCAGACUACCGAACGUCUCUUCUUUUCUGACGACAACAGUGAAUGACAGACAAAGUGAGGCUGUUGUGUAUCAUACGAGUAGGAGAGUGUUGACAUGUUGCACCGUACCCUAAUGGAUGCUUAUAGAUCCACAGCUUUGAGAAAUGGAGGAUUUCAUGGGCCCUUCGGUUGGAGUACACUUGAAAAGGGUGCUUACAUUCUGCGAAUGCACGCGUCCUCCCUCACACUGAAGGAUGAAAGCUCUCGGGAAUAUGAAAAGCCUCUUGAAAUCUUCAAAUGUACCUCCUGAAACUUCUCUCACCCUGACCCCGCUCCUCGAAAAAAUGAAAGGAAGGCGGACAAAAAGUUUAAAGUUUGGCAAGUUUAACAUGUUGUUAAACUUGCAUGUCGGCCUAAUGUCGGCCACGUUAGAUGUUUUCCUGACAAAUGCAAGUUGUGUGAGCCAUGUCCAUGUCAUAAUUCUAACCAAGCAUUCAUUUUAUGUCUGAAAUCGAUAAAAGAGUAAAUUGCAUUCGACAGCAUUUUCAAAGUGUCCUUGUAUUAAAAAAUAAAAUAAAAAAUACAGCUCAGUAUUAAUCAUCUGGACCUUUUUU